AGAGCUAAAAUCUGCCACUGAAAGAAGAUAAGGGGUAGAGGAAGGCGUCCUUGCGGAAGACCUUGACUAUUUCAGGCCUUUCAGUGCUGGUAGCCUGCAGCACUCGCUGUUUCUUCAACAGGAUUUGGCCCAGUGCACUCAUUUGUCUAUAGAGCAAGAGAUCAAGCCUCGCAUCAAGUUCCACAGGCCGUGACUCAGACCCUGGAACGCUGGGGCUGUUUGAAAAUAAAGAAGGGACAAAAAGCAUCUGUUGGAAAUGUUCACUGUGAUGCAGAUCCAAACCCUCCUCUUCCUCCUCCUCCUCUUUUUCCUCGGCCUGAGCCACAGCGAACGCACAGUGGCAGAGGAGCUGGGGAGCCAUCAGCUGCAGCGGCUGGUGGAUCUGCUGACGGUGCACGAGUGUGAGGAGCUCUUCCUGGCCCUAACCAAUCCCGAGGAGAAGGUUUUUAAACAGCUGCAGCGCCUGUCUGCAGAGAAGAACCCGCUGAGACCACACCCCCGCACACCACGAGACAUAGAGGUGGGUAAGAAUCUUAACCAGGACAAGACGCUGGGGCUGCAGCGCUAUGUGGAGGAAUACCAUGAGCAGGUCAAUAAAAUGACAUCACAGUUCAUCCUGCCCCAAUCAGAGGAGGACCAUCAUGAAGAAACACCAGAUGUUUCUGCAAGACAAGUGAGGAGCUUGUCUUGGAAAGAUUUGGACUUGGUUGUGGAGAGGCAGCUGGUGCCACCCUAUCAGCGUCAGUUUCUGGACGGGGCGUGGCCUCUUCUCUACGGCCUUAUCUUUGGAUUCGUUGCAGCUUUAGGGGUUGGUUUGCCUGUAAUGCUCUUUACCAUGCGGAUAUGCCUUGGGUCCCAAACCAAAACCCAGCAUUAGGGACACCAUACACACCAUCACUCCUUUGAGAUUUUGAUGACUUGUUAGACUUGUUUGUUUUAAGCUAAACAACUGUGAUUUUUCAGACUAGGUUUAAUAUUAAACAAUGAUCUGCCUUAAUUGAUGUCUUUUAUUUAAUUUUAUUUUUUUUCUUACCUGUAUAUACUAUUCUAGAGUUUUAGUCACAUGAUUUUUUGGGUACCACUUUAAAAGUGUCUUUUCU
rnacentral:lncRNA from 1 species